CCCUUAGAUGUUCUGGGCCGCACGCGCGCUACACUGACGAAUGCAACGAGCUUAUAACCUUGGCCGAAAGGUCUGGGUAAUCUCCAAAUUUCGUCGUGAUGGGGAUAGAUUAUUGCAAUUAUUAAUCUUCAACGAGGAAUGCCUAGUAAGCGCAAGACAUCAGCUUGCGUUGAUUACGUCCCUGCCCUUUGUACACACCGCCCGUCGCUCCUACCGAUUGAAUGGUCCGGUGAAGCGUUCGGACCGUGGCCUUUGGACGGUUCGCCGUCUGUUGGCUGCGGGAAGUUCGUUAAACCUUAUCAUUUAGAGGAAGGAGAAGUCGUANCA
rnacentral:rRNA from 1 species